UUGGACGUCCUUCUUCUUCUGGCUAAACCUUCUUUGCUUUUCAAGUAGAGGUCUCCUAUUUCAUGUGUCUGAAGGCACAAAGUAUGCAGGGAACUUGUCAACAAGAUAACUGACAAAAACACCACUUGCAAUGAGUGACCUUCAUAGAGCCAGGCACACUCACAUAUGUACGUGUGUGUGUGUGUGUGUGUGUGUGUGUGUGUUGUGUGUGUGUGUGUGUGUGUGUGUGUGU